CCUACGGGCGGCAGCAGUGAGGAAUAUUGGUCAAUGGGCGCGCGCCUGAACCAGCCAAGUCGCGUGAGGGAAGACGGCCCUACGGGUUGUAAACCUCUUUUGCCGGGGAGCAACGGGGGCCACGUGUGGCGCCACUGAGAGUACCCGGAGAAAAAGCAUCGGCUAACUCCGUGCCAGCGGCCGCGGUAAUACGGAGGAUGCGAGCGUUAUCCGGAUUUAUUGGGUUUAAAGGGUGCGUAGGCGGAGUGUUAAGUCAGCGGUAAAAUGGAGGGGCUCAACCCCGUUCCGCCAUUGAAACUGGCGCUCUUGAGUGGACGAGAAGUAUGCGGAAUGCGUGGUGUAGCGGUGAAAUGCAUAGAUAUCACGCAGAACCCCGAUUGCGAAGGCAGCAUGCCGGCUUCCGACUGACGCUGAAGCACGAAAGCGUGGGGAUCGAACAGGAUUAGAUACCCGUGUAGUC
rnacentral:rRNA from 1 species